rnacentral:rRNA from 1 species
GAUGAACGCUGGCGGCGUGCCUAAUACAUGCAAGUCGAGCGAACAGAUAAGGAGCUUGCUCCUUUGACGUUAGCGGCGGACGGGUGAGUAACACGUGGGUAACCUACCUAUAAGACUGGAAUAACUCCGGGAAACCGGGGCUAAUGCCGGAUAACAUAUAGAACCGCAUGGUUCUAUAGUGAAAGAUGGUUUUGCCAUCACCUAUAGAUGGACCCGCGCCGUAUUAGCUAGUUGGUAAGGAAACGGCUUACCAAGGGCACAGUACGUAGCCGACCUGAGAGGGUGAUAGGACACACUGGAACUGAGACACGGUCCAGACUCCUACGGGAGGCAGGAGAAGGGAAUCUUCCGCAAUGGGCGAAAGCCUAACGGAGCAACGCCGCGUGAGGGAUGAAGGGUUUCGGCUCGUAAAACUCUGUUAUUAGGGAAGGACAUAUGUGUAAGUAACUGUGCACAUCUUGACGGUACCUAAUCAGAAAGCCACGGCUAACUACGUGCCAGCCGCCGCCGUAA